rnacentral:rRNA from 1 species
UACGUAGGGUGCGAGCGUUAAUCGGAAUUACUGGGCGUAAAGCGUGCGCAGGCGGUUCGUCGUGUCUGAUGUGAAAGCCCCGGGCUCAACCUGGGAAUGGCAUUGGAAACUGGCGGACUAGAGUGUGGGCAGAGGGGGGGUGGAAUUCCGCGUGUAGCAGUGGAAAUGCGUAGAGAUGCGGAGGAACACCGAUGCGAAGGCGCCCCCUGGGCUAACCACGUG